rnacentral:rRNA from 1 species
AUUGAACGCUGGCGGCAUGCCUUACACAUGCAAGUCGAACGGCAGCGGACCUCCGGGUGCCGGCGAGUGGCGAACGGGUGAGUAAUAUAUCGGAACGUACCUUUCAGUGGGGGAUAACGUAGCGAAAGUUACGCUAAUACCGCAUAUUCUGUGAGCAGGAAAGCAGGGGAUCGCAAGACCUUGCGCUGAUUGAGCGGCCGAUAUCAGAUUAGCUAGUUGGUGAGGUAAAGGCUCACCAAGGCGACGAUCUGUAGCGGGUCUGAGAGGAUGAUCCGCCACACUGGAACUGAGACACGGUCCAGACUCCUACGGGAGGCAGCAGUGGGGAAUUUUGGACAAUGGGCGCAAGCCUGAUCCAGCCAUGCCGCGUGAGUGAAGAAGGCCUGGU